rnacentral:piRNA from 1 species
UGUUAUUGUGACCUUCAAGGAUGCUGUGC